UUUUGUGUAUGGUGGGUGUGGUGGUAUCAGUUCAGAACAAUUGUGUUCUUUCAUACUGUAUCUGUUGUACUUUCACGUUAACAUCUGACGGUGUCGACAAACCGGUACCAGAAGUGUGUGCUGUGCGUGUUGAGUCGAUCACACAUCAUUGAUAUACUGCAUUCUAUCAACGUCACCCUGCCUUGAAGUUGAAAUACCGACAAUGAACGCUCUCGCAUACCGGUGCCUGUUGAUGGCUGUCUUGGUGUUGGUGCUGUGGAAGCCCUGUGUAGCACCGGCGAUGGACAUGCUGGAGGACACGUCUUACGAGAAGAACGGUGAAAACACUGCCGGCACCACACCAGCAGUUGGUCUGAUCCUGGGACUGCUGUCAGCUGCUCUGGCGUACAACUGGCAGGGAAACCCAUAGUCUGAGAUCAUAUUCACUAGUUAGAGCAAGGAGCUCCUUGGGUUAGAGCUAUGCAUGUAUUACUAUUGUAUACAGGCACAGGCAUGGGUUUAGGUACAGACCCAGACCUGUAGUACCAAU